CAGGUUCGGAUGAGACUCUCCCAGACCAAAAAGCACGUCAGCAGGGCCUACGGAGGCUCCAUGUGCGCCAAGUGUGUCCUUGACAGGAUCAAGCGUGCUUUCCUGAUUGAGGAGCAGAAGAUCGUCGUCAAGGUGCUGAAGGCACAGGCACAGUGCCAGAAAUCGAAGUAAACUGUGUAUUUGUAUUGCCACAAUAAAAAAAAUGACAAACA